AUCCAUCUGACGAGUCCCAAAUAGGACGCAAGGCGCGUCCUGGAU
rnacentral:hammerhead_ribozyme from 1 species